AAAACAGCCCUUUUUAGGGCUACCAGAAUGUUUCCAUGAAAGAGUUAU
rfam:Aedes albopictus isolate Foshan contig74833, whole genome shotgun sequence.